ACACUCCUGCGGGAGGCAGCAGUGGGGAAUUUUGGACAAUGGGCGAAAGCCUGAUCCAGCCAUGCCGCGUGCAGGAUGAAGGCCUUCGGGUUGUAAACUGCUUUUGUACGGAACGAAACGGCCUUUUCUAAUAAAGAGGGCUAAUGACGGUACCGUAAGAAUAAGCACCGGCUAACUACGUGCCAGCAGCCGCGGUAAUACGUAGGGUGCAAGCGUUAAUCGGAAUUACUGGGCGUAAAGCGUGCGCAGGCGGUUAUGUAAGACAGUUGUGAAAUCCCCGGGCUCAACCUGGGAACUGCAUCUGUGACUGCAUAGCUAGAGUACGGUAGAGGGGGAUGGAAUUCCGCGUGUAGCAGUGAAAUGCGUAGAUAUGCGGAGGAACACCGAUGGCGAAGGCAAUCCCCUGGACCUGUACUGACGCUCAUGCACGAAAGCGUGGGGAGCAAACAGGAUUAGAAACCCUAGUAGUCCCAUGA
rnacentral:rRNA from 1 species